ACUCUUCAACCCCCAUAUUUUGUAAUGAGAUAUGGUGCGGCUUGGUUUCUGAGCGUUUUUUGCUGGAUCCAUUCGGAUCGAAGCUCGCUCGUAAUACAUUAGCAUCCUUCUCAUCGAGAUCAGAUUGACUCGGCGUAAUAGACUAUUCGCUGAGGACAUGUCAUUUUGACGUGGCUGACCUUUGAUAUUAUUUGCUGGAAGCUCAUAAAUCCGACAUAACUAGUCAAUUUCUAAG
rnacentral:misc_RNA from 1 species